CAUUGUCCCUGUAAAAUAAACAAUAAUGCAAAUCCCGUUUAGUCCUUUAUAUUAAUUUAUAAAACAUGAAAAAGUAAUAUAAUCAUCUGUGUCCAAUAAAGGUCCAUUAUCAGUCAUCACCACAUAACGAACUUCUCUCUGAUUGACGAACAUCUUCUUCUCCGACAACGACCACCAUCCCUCCGUCAUGCCGGAGAUCAACACGUUAUUAGAAUCGAUCAAUAUCCACGACCUUCUCGCCGGACACUAACUCAACGAUUCAACGACUCCACUAUCAUAAACCGUCUAGACUCUCACUCCCUCCGUAUCAAGUCCAGUCCUACCUCGUCGGCCACCACUCCGAAUUCUCCAACCUUAUCUUGACCUGCCAAGAAGCCGUCUCCAGGAUCCGUCUGAUCUCCGACGACGUCUCCGAUGCCGUGGAGCUGAUUUCCGACCGUUUGGUUGAUGUCGAGAUUCGGAAAUUGAUCGAUGAGAUAAUGGAGAAGACCAAGGAGGUGAAGCUGAAGAGGGAGUCGCUCGAUCUGGUGAGUGUGAUCGUGGGGAUAUGCUAGGCGUUGUGGGAAGCGAAGGUGGCUGCUGAGAGAGCUGAAGGGAGUGUUGAGGGUUGGUGAAGAGGAAGAAGGAGAGCCUGUGGCUUACGUUUUGCUUAGGAAAGAAUGAUCUCAUUGCUUUGACGAGAUGAGCCAUUUGGGUAUCAUAAAAAUCUAAUCUUUCUUGUGAAACGAGAAGCAAUGUGUUUAAAGUUGUAAGCUUUGUUUUCUUAGGAGGAAGUUUUGUUGUUGUUAGUCUUUCAUCUUUUCUUUUGUUUGUCUAUGUUUGUAGAUGCAAGAGAUGCUUGUGAAAUUGUAUGGAAAGUGCAGUGCGUUUUGAGAUGGAGUCGUGUAAGCUAAGGAUUAGUUAUCAGAAGUGUUGGUCAUUCGAAUGUUAGACUAUGGGCUUGUGAAAGCAGCUGACUCAAUCUUCAAGCAUGUUAUUACUCCAGCUGAACUUAUGCAUCUACUUUUAACGCUGUAGAAGAUUCUUGUAAACCUCAUAGGAUAUAGCCGAAGCGACACUAAAGCUAGAACAGUCCUCAGAUCAUAAGACUGAAGAUGUGGAUGGAGAUGCAAUAUAUUAAGGAAUUCUUAAGGUUGUUAAAUUCAUUUGCAGUUGACAUUCUUGCUUUAAAUCUUAAUGGACAAUUUUAACAAAGUACCAUGUUUGGCCAUGAGAAAAUAGCCUUUGUUGAUUCUGACCAUGGAUGUGGAAUGUUUCAUGAAUAUUCAUCUUGUCAUCUUUGCAUCUUCUCCAUAUAGUUUUGUAGACAAACAUAAUAUGACAAGAAAAAAAUUCAAGACUCCUCAACUGAUAUCAACCCUCAUGGAUCUGAUCCGUUGAACUAGUUUGUAAUAUUAAUUUUCAUUGUAAAAACAACUAAUAAAUGGUUUCGUG